rnacentral:rRNA from 1 species
CCUACGGGAGGCAGCAGUGGGGAAUAUUGCACAAUGGGGGAAACCCUGAUGCAGCGACGCCGCGUGAGCGAUGAAGUAUUUCGGUAUGUAAAGCUCUAUCAGCAGGGAAGAAGAUGACGGUACCUGACUAAGAAGCCCCGGCUAACUACGUGCCAGCAGCCGCGGUAAUACGUAGGGGGCAAGCGUUAUACGGAUUUACUGGGCGUAAAGGGUGCGUAGACGGCGAUGCAAGCCAGAUGUGAAAGCCCGUGGCUCAACCCCGGGACUGCAUUUGGAACUGUGUGGCUGGAGUGUCGGAGAGGCAGGCGGAAUUCUUAGUGUAGCGGUAAAAUGCGUAGAUAUCAGGAGGAACACUAGUGGCGAAGGCGACCUGCUGGACGAUGACUGACGUUGAGGCACGAAAGCGUGGGGAGCAAACAGGAUUAGAUACCCUAGUAGUC